UACGUAGGUGGCAAGCGUUAUCCGGAAUUAUUGGGCGUAAAGAGCGCGCAGGUGGUUGAUUAAGUCUGAUGUGAAAGCCCACGGCUCAACCGUGGAAGGUCAUUGGAAACUGGGGAACUUGAGUGCAGAAGAGGAGAGUGGAAUUCCAUGUGUAGCGGUGAAAUGCGUAGAUAUAUGGAGGAACACCAGUGGCGAAGGCGACUCUCUGGUCUGUAACUGACGCUGAGGCUCGAAAGUGUGGGGAUCAAACAGGAUUA
rnacentral:rRNA from 1 species